rnacentral:rRNA from 1 species
GGGUCCCUUUGGGGGAGGGAGGGAGGCGAGGGGAGGGGAGGGGACGUUCAGUGCUGAGUGCGCAGAGGGUGGAGCGGCCGCGGCCGGCGGAGUGAGGCGGAAGCGGCGGCGGCGGUACUCGCGGGAGGUCCGGAGGGAGGAGGAGGCGGGAGAGGGGAGCGGGGACGGGGGAGCAGCCGCAGGCGGUGGUCGGGGGCGGAGGCAGAGGAAGGGAGCGAGGACGGUGGUGGCGGCGGGGGGCGAGGGGGAGGCGCGUAACCGGAGGCUGCCGGGGGUCGGAGGGGGGAGAGGCCGGGGGCUCGGCGGGCGCCGCCGACGCCGCCGCCAGCGAGGCCUCCGCCUCCAGCUGUGCCCGGGGCGACGGGUCCUGCCCUUCCUCCUCGACCUCCUGGACCACCUAUUCCGAUCCCAAACCCGGCACCGAAAGCGCCGGCGCCACCAGCUCCACCGGUUCUCCAAAAAGCUGACCCACCACAGACCGCUAACCUACUCGACCACCGGCAAGACCGCGGGGCUGGCGGCGAACGUCGCCAACUAGCUACUGCGGCUGCGAGUGGGGUUCCUGGGACGGUUCGUCUCGCGCGACGAGGUGCUCGAGUUGUUCAAAUCGGGUCUUCUACAGUAGUUUUCUUAGCUCGUUUCUUCAGUACGCCAACUAUCGUUCCCCCAACGUCUCAUGGAAGCUCGAGAAUAAGAGUGUUUGCGAUAUCGACUAAUGGAUGGUCUACUCGCCAGACCCGCAAGUCGUUGUGAUGGUCGAGACAACGUUCUUAACUUCGUUGCACAUAGACCCCUCCUGUUCGGAAAGAGCUUAGGACCCUAUAGACUGUUCGUUGGUAAUGUACAUCAUUACCAACUAGGAUUUCGAUGACCAUCUAGUUGAGCCAAACGAGUUCUCUAAAAGAGCUGAUAGAACAAGUGUCAACGACAACCUAAAUACACCCAUUACCCACGACGACGCGAAGUUUUCAUAUAACCAUCGGAUCCACCUUAUCCGCGUAGACCACAGCCAAGGUCAAGUAGUAUAAGACGUUUUCUCAACUUAUUCCUAUAUUGUGGGCUCUUCUUACACUUCUGUAAAUUUCUACAGUUUCCGACACUACUACGGUUCUUUCUUGAACUCCUCCAACAACUCAUAGAUUCCUUAGGAUACUUCAAAUGAGCGGAGCCACCUUUCAAUGGUUUCCCUUAUGAAAAUUGACCUCGAGGUCCUUGACCCUUCUGCGACGAACGAUUCCGGUAACGACCCCUUCGACCACACGGAAAGAAAAUGGCUCGUCCAAGACUUAAACUCCUUUACAAACAACCACAACCACGAGCCUCCCACUCUAGGAACAAAGUUCGACGUUUCUUUUUCCGUGGUACAUAACAAAAGUAACUACUUUAUCUACGUCACCCUAGUUGAUCUUUUGUCACCCUUCCCGUGUGUUUCUUUUGUAACGUAGUUGAAGAACAACUCUACCUACCAAAACUUGUUUUACUCCCUUAUUAUCAUUACCGACGCUGUUUGAAUGGUCUGUAAGAACUAGGUCGUGAAUGUUCUGGACCAUCUAAACUAUCUGUAUAACAACAGGGAUCAGGACUACACGCUCCGGCGGUUCUAUAAGACCUCGAGAUAAACGUUCUGUUCGGACACCCGUCACUACACUUACAGUUACGUUAGCGGGCGUCAUGGGGACCGAAAUUACCCCGACUGGAACGCUUGGACCAUUUGUAACGUCGUUAAUUCCGACGACAACUUCCACGACUGUUCGACUGACGAAGUGUUAACCUCAAACGGUUUCUAGCAUAGUAGUACCCUUGACUCUCCUUUAGUUACAAGUAGAGACUACUUAGUUCUUUCGAAUGACGGAUGGUACUUUCACCCGUACGAUAACAACGUGAGUUAUGGUUCCCACGAGUAGGGUAAGUGUUCCGUUGAUAGGACGGAGCACCUAGACGGGAACCUUACCAAUGUGUUGAAGGGAGUGUCCUACUCUGAAGAUAGUCGUUCUUUGUUGAGGACCGUGCAGAACUACAAACGUACCCGCCUUCCCAACGACUUCUCGAAUAUAAACCCCUUCUUUUACAAUGAUGACCACGGUCUUUACUAGAAGUAUGACGUUGUCUCGAGCGGGUCAUAUACCAUAGUUUGACACCCUACUCAUUACGAUAACCAGGACACGUACAUUUUCUUGCUGGUUCACAACUGUACGUUAGUUCUUAUCUACGUCUCCACCCGUCUGAGGAUUCUCUUCGAAUACUUGCCCACUGUGUAAAUGACUUCUUCGUACUCUUCGUUAAUGUACGAAAUCGCUUACGAGACGACCUCGCACUUUGAGACUGCCGUCUACUCUAGUUGUUUCAUCAAGUAGGGAUGGUUCUUCUUGGUGUCGAAGGGAAGGUUCUUCUUCGGAAACGCGAUUGAAUCUGUAUAAUGGAAAACAACGUAGUUCCACCAUCAAAGCUGACAUUUAGGCACAUGUCAUUAACCUUUCAGUAAUGAGUGGUAAAACGCUUCACCCCAUUUGAACCCACGUAAAGGAAGAGCCGUGGUAAUCCGACCGUACGUCCUUUAACUUUCUACUCUAAUAGCCUCCCACAACGUACUAACACUCGAUAACUGUAUAGACACUGCGCCGCUCUGAGUGGUCGCGGACGGAAAAUGGGUUGUACUUCGGGGACUCGACUCUUCACGUAGUGCGAACCAAAUCUAUCCCUUCGUUAUGUCUACACUGUAACGUAUAAAACCUAAGAUCUAAUAAAGAAGAAAAGUUAAGAUACGGAGCGGUAACAAAUUUCCUUUGGCAGGUAUAUUGACAGAGUAAGAUAACGCAGCAUUGUACAAUGCGCCUACACCAGUUAAUAAUACAGACCGUACAAGACAAAACCAAAAGAAAAGUCUUUGAGCG